UUCCACAAGGUUUUCAGUGAUGGGGGUGA
rnacentral:piRNA from 1 species